UACGAAGGGGGCUAGCGUUGCUCGGAAUCACUGGGCGUAAAGCGCACGUAGGCGGAUCGUUAAGUCGGGGGUGAAAUCCUGGAGCUCAACUCCAGAACUGCCUCCGAUACUGGCGAUCUUGGAGUCCGGGAGAGGUGAGUGGAACUCCGAGUGUAGAGGUGAAAUUCGUAGAUAUUCGGAAGAACACCAGUGGCGAAGGCGGCUCACUGGCCCGGUACUGACGCUGAGGUGCGAAAGCUAGGGUAGCAAACGGG
rnacentral:rRNA from 1 species